UUCCUGGUAUGUCAGGUUUUUUUUUUUUUUUUUUUUUUUUUUAGUUAUUUAACACAGCUUGAAUUAUCCUCAACCACUCCUUCAUAAAUUGGUUAGCAUGAAUAUGUGUCCCAGUCUGGGCUUCUCACUCCAGUUUACAUCUCAAUACAUAUGCUGCUGAUGUUUCAUCUGCCUUAGGGGUGGACUUAAUGUUAUGAAUAGCACCAGGUGGUGCAGAAAAUUUUCUCCUUAUUACUGUGCCCCACGCAGUUGCUACUUUGCCAAAAGGAGUGUCUGAUUGACAUUCAUUUGUAUUAGCUACCUAUUAAAAUUGUCUCAAUUCUCCAUUAGUAAUCUUAGAAUAACAACAAACUUUUAUUAUUAUUAUAAUCUUCUUUAAUUAUUAUUAUUAUUAUUAUUUUUAUUUUUUUAUUUUUUUGCACCUAAACACAAUUUCAUCCUCUAAUAUCAAGUCUUAGUUCCUCAAAUGGUUACUUCGUUAAAGAGUUAUUGCUUUUUCUAGUUUUUAUCUCAUCUGUUUAAUAUCUCUCUUUUUUUAUAUAUAUAUAUUUUAGACAUAUUUUAAACUAUAAUCUUUUGACAUUUAUUUCUAUUAAACAAUAAUUAGGAGUCUUUUUUUCUUAGCUUUUAAUUUUUCCUUAUUUUUUUGUUAUUAUAUUAUUAUCUUCCUUAUUUAUUUGGCCAGUAUCACUUCAGUUAACCAUUUUCAACCAGUCAAAUUUUCUUUUCUAAUUUUCCUCUCCAUCGACCGAAGACUCCUCAAUUUUAUCCCUUUGCUGUUUAACAGCUGAUUUUAUCCCUUUGCUGUUUAACAGCUGAUUUGCAAUCUUUUAUUUCAGUUCUUCAUCUUUCUUCCAAUGUAUCUCUUCUAAUGUUUCUUUAGUAUCUGGUCUUUAUGUUGUAUUUUAAUUUCUCUUUAUUAUUUAUUAUUAUACUUAUUUAUUUUAUUUAUUUAUUCAUAUAGCUUCAAGGUCUGUUUAAACUAUUAUAACUAUAUUAAGCAUAUCUCCCAUUAUUUUUUAUUUCACUUGUCUUUUUAUCCUGCAAUAUAAUAGAUCCGUUUAAUUAGUAACUUAUACUAAAUCUCUAAUUAUUAUGUGAACAUUUAUCAGUAUUUGAUCAAAUAUAUAUGAUUAUUUUUUUAUAUUUUCUUUUACUAUAUUCAGCCUAACUGUUUUUUCCUCAUGAAAAGGCAUGGCUCCAGUUAUCUUCCUUUUUUCAUGUCUGUCUAAGCCUGUCUGCCUUUACGUUGUCAGCCCCGUAUCUUUCUGUAAAUAAAUCCCCAGUUUUGUGGACCAAUUGCAAAGCUUGUAGACUACUUUGUGGUGAAUUGAAAUUUUCUUUUUGGUCUUUUUCUAUAUGUGUAUGUGUUAGUGUGUCACCUCCUUCUGCAGUGGUCUCCUUCCUGGUUGCCUCCCUCUCUUGGACCCGAGAGACUCAGCUAGUUGUCUUCUCAGUUCUCCUUUUCUUGGUGGUUCUUUUGUUAGUUCCUGUUCAAGACACAACUACACAUAUACUUUUAACCUUCACAUUAACAUUGUUUUCAGGGUGUGGUGUCACUCAUCCUCACACUUCUUUACCAUUUAUCUCAUUCAUACCAACACAUGACCUCGUCAGGUCAGUGCUUUUCCCUACACUGUCCUAAUCCUGGUUCUCUAGAACCUUUUCUUCUAGUCCCUGUUCUACAGUAUAUUUCAUAUUUUCUAUAGUAUGUCAUAUAUAUACAGUAUAUCUCAUAUUUUCUUUAUGUUCCUCAAAUUGUAAUAUUAACUUUUUCUCUCAUUUAUUUUUCCUUUAACACUCCCUCUCAUAUUCUUCUUCCACGAUGUAAGUGCUGUUAUUAAGCAUUUUUGCAUAAUCGCAUAUUUAUUAUACAUAUUUGUUUCAUAUUUCAUCCUUUAGUAAUUUAAGGUCAUAAUAUUUUGUAUUAAUUUAGCUGAGGUGUAUUUAUAAAUGUAAACGUGUUGAAAGGUUCAAAUGUGUUAUUAUUUCAUAUGUUGUACUUUAAGACGUUUAUUAUGGAAACGUGUCACUUUGAGGAAAUGACGUGUAAUGUGAGUGACUUGUUUAUGGAUCCCCGGAUAGACUGACGAUGAUCAGACGCAUGUCAGUGCUGUGUAAAGUUACAUGUGUUUAAGAAGCAUAAAGUUGCUGCUGUCAUAAUUCAAAGGACAGUGAAGAAGACUUUAUUAAUCCAAGGACCCUCUUUUCAUGACAAGCGACCAACGAGGUAUUUGUUUUGCUUAAUAAUGUAUUAGAUAAUCGUAGUUUGUAUAAUUGCUUAUACGUUUGUACUGUGUUCAUUUACUAAUACAGUUCUCACGGCGUCACGGCAACAGCCGCAAAGAACAUUAUGGACGACCUUAAAUAAACGCCCGUUCUGGAGAAACAACCUGUGUCUGUGUUGUUGUGAAGAGAGUUACAGUGAGAACUCGACGCAGAUCGACGCGGGUAUGAAAGCAACGUCCUCGCGGGUAACGUCGAGACAACGUCCAGCUGAAGAUAAGGAGGGCUCAAGUUACAGUGCCGAAGUAACACGCAGUUACACACAGUGAUGAUUAGACUGAGUUGAAAGUGCAACGUUUCAGACUGAAAUCAGAAAGUACUCUGCCACAGUUAAGGUGGUCAGAGAAGUGAUUGAACUUGAAAGUGCAGUAAGGACUCAAAUCUAAUUGUGUUGCUCAGCCUUCAGUUUUGGGACAAAUUUAAUGUGCUGAUAUUUAUCUGGUAUUAUUUAAGAGUGCAUUUAAGUUAUUGAUAAGUUCAUUAGUUACUGAAAUUGAAAUCGACUGAUUUAUUUGUUCAAUAUUACUGAUGUAAAAGUGGUUUGUGAAAGGAUUAGUCAGUAAAUUUAACUUGAGUUUAUUUUUGGAAUAUUUUAGGUUUAUACUGCAUCUAUAUAGUCAACUAAUUGCUGAUUAUUUCUUUAACAAGGGAAUUUGUUACAUGAUAAUACUUUAAUUCAAUAUUGACAUACAUACUUUAUAUUUUAUUUCUUAUGUAGUUUAACAGGCGUUAAGGAUUUUAUACAGUAAACAUUUACAUUUUACAUUGAGCUACAUUUACACAGUCUAAGUUCACUAAUUUUGUUUACAUACACCAUACAUAUACAGUAAUAUUAAUAUUUAUAUCAAAAUGUCUGAUACACAAACAGAGACUUGCCGUAAAGGGGAAAUAUCACCUGCACAACCUGAAGCUACAGAGCUGCGAAGAAGUGAAAGAGCUAGAACUCUUACAGAAAAGGGAAAAGAGCUUCAAGAAGCUAAGUUAAAGGGUUUAAAGCGACAGUAUAGAAUAGUUUAUGAGAAGUGGAGAUAUUAUGCAAGAUUAAGUAAGGAAAUAUUCUCGGAUGAAGCUUCUCAAGAAGAAUUGAAUGAGCUUAUUCACAAUAUUGAAAGCAGCUGUUCUAAUGUGAAAGCCAUAUAUGAAGAACUACGUCAAGUUCAAAUUCCUGAACAAGACCUACGACUCAGGAUUGAUGUGUGCAUAUCGCUUUCAGGAUUCAUUGUUAAAAGAGCACAAAUGCAUCUUGAAGGGCAUGCAUCAGAUGAAAUUGAAGAACCCUGGCCUGAUGUUGGAUCAGUCUUAGACUCAACAAGCUCUUUAUCAAGACCACUGUCUCAUCAAACUAAAUGCAGUUCAACCCAUUCUAGCAUCCACUCAGGCAAAAGAAAUGAAGCUGUAGCUGAAGCAGCUGCAUGUCAGGAAGUCUUGGCGGUGUUGGAAGAGCAAGACAGGGAAGUAUCUGAACUUCAAAGGUUAGAGGCAGAAAGUAAACUACGUAUGGCACAAUUUGAAUCUGAGGAUCUGGCCAGGAAACAAGCAAUGCAAGAUAAACGCAGAAAUCUUGAGCGCCUGGAGGAAAUAAAGAAGUUGAAUGCUGCAAGAGCACGAGUUAGGGUCUAUGAUCAAGCGGAAGGAGACAUUGAAGCAGCUGAAUUGAAGCAAGAUGCUCUAUCAGUCAUUGAUAACAAAGUUCCUGAUUUCAUAAGCUCUUCCUUUGUUCAUAAGUCUCUGCCAGCGCCAACGCAGGUGCUACAUGCAUCAAGUCCUUCAUUUAUUCCAAAGUCUCAGCCAGUUGUACACCAAGAUCAAAAUCAUCUCUCACAACGCACACCUCAAGGUUCACUAUAUUCACCAUUAAUGGCCCAAGCACAAAAUGGUUCUGACCUGGUCAGCACAUUAGCAGAAGUUAUGAGUGCCAAUCGUCUUCCUAUUUCAGAGCCUGCAUUGUUUACUGGAGAUCCAUUAAAAUUCAAGGAUUGGCGUCUUUCUUUUGAGACAUUGAUUGACAGGAAAAACAUCCCAAAAAAUGAGAAGCUGUAUUAUUUAAGAAAAUACUUAGGUGGCGCUGCAAAGAAAACUGUAGAAGGUUUUUUCUUACUUGGCACUGAAGAAGCAUAUGAUUCUGCUUGGCAGCUGUUAGAAAAACGCUUUGGUGACCCAUUUAUAAUUGGGAAGUCAUUCAGAGAUAAGCUGCAUGGAUGGCCAAAGAUAAGCUCUAAAGAUGGUUGUGAACUAAGAGAAUUCACUGACUUCCUCAAGAGUUGUGAAGCUGCGAUGCCUCAUCUGAAGACUUUGGAGGUUCUAAAUGACUGUAACGAAAAUCAAAGGAUUCUACUAAAAUUGCCAGAUUGGUUAGUGUCUAGAUGGAACCGUAAGGUGAUGGAAUUCAGACAGGUAUAUGGAGAUUACCCAAAAUUCAAGGAGUUUGUAGACUUCUUGUCAAAUGAGUCGGAUCUCGCCUGCGAUCCUAUUUCUUCGGUACAGGCACUUAGGAGUGUGGAAGCUACAAAACCGAAAUACUCACGAAACCAGCCUUCUCAAGCAAAAACAUUUUACACAAACACAACUCAGAGUACUUUCCCAGCAUGUGUAUUUUGUAAAAGAACAGGACAUGGCUUAGCAAAGUGCAGAAGGUUCAUAGAGAAGGAUGUUCAGGAUCGUGUCAAGUUUGUUCGCACAGAAAAACUUUGUUUUGGUUGUUUGCAAACUGGUCAUCAUUCAAGAAGAUGUGAAAAUAAGAGCACAUGUGAAAGGUGUCAGAAGAGACAUCCUACAUGUUUGCAUGAUGACAAGUUCAAAGAAUAUCAAAGGUCUGUUGUGAAGGAAAGUGGCGAUUCAAAGGAAAAGGCUGAUGGAACGGAGAUAGUUGCCGUUGCAAUUACCAAUACAGUUAGGCAGGAAGGCCCAAACACACAAACAUCCACGAUCAUACCAGUUUGGGUAUCAUCCACAAAACUGCCCGAUCAAGAAAUCCUUGUCUAUGCACUUUUAGACACGCAGAGUGACACCACUUUCAUCUUGGAUGAAGUAGCUCAAAGGCUUAAAGUGAACAUGGAGAACGCUAGUUUGCAGUUAUCCACGAUGUCCUCAAGGUCAACGACCAUACGUUGUCAUAAGGUUUCUGGUCUGCAGGUGAGAGGGCAUAAUUCUGAGAAAAUUAUACAUCUGCCAGCAGUUUUCACACGUGAAUUCAUUCCAGUGAACAGGUCACAUAUACCUACGUCUGACACUGCUUUAAAAUGGCCUCAUCUGGAGCAGUUGGCAAAUAAGAUUCCACCAGCACUGGACUGUGAAGUUGGACUUUUGAUUGGCUACAACUGUCAGCAAGCACUUCUGCCUAAGGAAAUCUUAUUUGGAGAAGAAAAUCAUCCAUAUCCACAACGAACCGAUCUCGGCUGGAGCAUAGUUGGAUGCUCAUAUCCAGCAGAUGACUAUGGUGAUGCGAUUGGAGUCAGUCAUAGAACUUUAGUUUGCCCAGUGAUGCCUACAGUGAAGCCAUCAGUUGAGCUAAAGCAAGAGGUGCAUUUUGUAUGUCGAAAUGUAGUCAAGGAAGUACUUCCCACAGACAUAAUUAAGGCACUCGAGUUAGACUUCACAGAUCAUAGUGCUGAUGACAAUCCAGUUUCUCAAGAAGAUAUUCUCUUUUUGUCUAAAGUAAAAGAAGGUGUGAAACACAAAGAGGAUGGACACCUUGAACUCCCACUUCCUUUCAAGACAGAAAAUCCUAGUUUACCAGAUAAUAAACAAUCUGCAAUUCAUAGACUUAUCUCAUUAAAACGUCGACUGAGGAGAGACAAACAGUAUUAUGAAGAUUACGUACACUUCAUGAGUGACAUCAUAAGCCGAGGAGAUGCUGAAAGAGUUCCAAGUUCUGAGCUUGAUAACAAAUCAGCAUGGUACAUUCCGCACCAUGGAGUCUACCACCCCCACAAACCAGGGAAGAUUCGUGUGGUGUUUGAUUGUUCAGCGCGCUUCCAAGAGGCCUCUCUAAACGAUCACCUCUUGACUGGUCCAGACCUCACCAACACCUUAGUUGGAGUGCUGUGUCGAUUUAGAAAGGGUCCAAUAGCCAUUAUGUGUGACAUUGAAAGAAUGUUCCAUCAAUUUCAUGUUACAAAGGAACAUCAAGACUAUUUGAGAUUUCUUUGGUGGGACAAUGGCAAUCUGGAUUCCAAGCCUUCUGUGUACAGAAUGAGAGUACACCUUUUCGGUGCCGCUUCAUCCCCUGGCUGCUCAAACUUUGGACUCAAGUACUUAGCAUCGCAAGGUCAUGGAAGCUUUAGUGAAGAGGCUAUCAAGUUUAUCCAGAGGAGUUUUUAUGUCGACGAUGGCUUAACAAGUGUAAGUACAUCUGCAGAAGCUAUACAUCUUGUGGAUGAAGCAAGAGCUUUGUGUAAAACAGGAAAUCUUCGUCUGCACAAGUUUGUUUCCAAUGAUAUGGAAGUGAUAGCCACAAUACCACCUGAGGACUGUGCUCAGGCCAGAGAUCUGGAUAUGGCUUUGGGAGAGCUUCAUAUAGAACGUGCACUUGGAGUUCAAUGGUGCAUUGAAGCAGAUGAAUUCCAAUUUAGAGUGAUAGUCAAGAAAAAUCCAAUGACUAGAAGAGGUGUUCUUUCAACAGUAGCCUCUGUCUACGAUCCGUUAGGGUUUGUAGCACCUUUUUUACUAGUAGGCAAGCAGAUUCUUCAAGUAUUGUGCAAAGAUAAAGUAAGCUGGGAUGAAGAUCUGCCUGAGCAUAUUCUACCACAAUGGGAGUCAUGGCUUCGAGAUUUGCCCCAUUUGGCUGACUUAAAGAUUCCUAGAAGCUACCUUUCAUCAAAUUUUGACAGGCCUGUUUCUUAUGAGCUACACAGCUUUUCUGAUGCAAGUCUUAGUGGAUAUGGUGCCUGUUCAUAUCUUAGAGCAACAAGUGAAACAGGACAAAUCAGUUGCUCACUUGUUAUUGGGAAAGCCAGAGUAACCCCCACCAAGCAAACAACUAUCCCGAGACUUGAACUAUCAGCAGCUGUGACUUCAGUCCGAAAUGGAAACAUUGUCAAAAGAGAGCUUGAGAUUGAAGAUUUGCAAGAAUAUUACUGGACUGACUCAAGGGUAGUUCUUGGCUAUGUGAACAAUGAUGCCAAAAGAUUCCACACAUUCGUAGCAAAUCGGAUUCAACGCAUAAGGUCCAGCACAUGUCCAGCACAAUGGCGACAUGUCAGUUCAGAAAACAACCCUGCUGAUUAUGCCUCAAGAGGGCUGAGUGCUGCUCAGCUAAAAGAGUCCAAUUGGUUAAAAGGACCUGACUUUCUGUGGCAGAAAAUCCUUCUGUGUGAAGAGGAAGUGGUGAGGGAUCUGGAAAUUACUGACCCUGAGCUCCGCAAGACCAACAUUCAUACCAUCAGGACUAAAGAGAUCGAUUUAAUGGUUACUCGAUUUGCAAAAUUUUCAGACUGGUCAAGUUUGGUGAGAGCAGUCGCCAGGCUUAAAAGGUUUGUCAGAGAAUUCAAGGGAAUUCAACCAAGAAGGAAUGGAAUGACUAGUCUUGAAGAAAGAAAGGCAGCAGAAAAUGUCAUAAUUAAAAUUGUACAAGAUGAUGCCUUCGCCGAAGACAUUCGACAUAUCAAACUUCAGAAAGAAAAUUAUCUAAACAAACACAGCAAUUUGCAUCGAUUGAGUCCUUUCUUGGACAAGGAAGGUCUUCUCAGGGUGGGAGGAAGGCUAACAAGAUCAAGCCUAGAUUAUGAUGUAAAGCAUCCUGCGUUACUUCCAAAAAGGUCUCAUAUAUCUGCCUUACUCGUCAAACAUCACCAUGAGCGCAUAUACCACCAAGGAAGGGGCAUGACAAUGAAUGAGAUACGUGCGAAUGGAAUAUGGAUCUUAGGAUGUGGAAGUGUGGUCUCGUCAUAUAUCUACAAAUGUGUAAAAUGUAGAAGAUACAGAGGAACUACAGAGAUUCAAAAAAUGGCAGAUUUGCCAGAAGAAAGAACUGAGACAUCUCCCCCCUUUACAUGCUGUGGAAUAGAUUGUUUUGGCCCUUUCAUAGUAAAGGAAGGAAGGAAGGAACUAAAACGGUAUGGAUUGCUGUUUACUUGUUUGUGCUCUAGAGCAGUGCACAUAGAGACUCUAGAUGAUUUGACGACAGAUGCCUUCAUCAACGCUCUUAGGGUGUUCGUAGCUAUUAGGGGACCUGUGCGACAAAUAAGAUGCGAUCAGGGAACAAAUUUCAUGGGUGCCAGAAGAGAGUUUUCUGAUCUGCUCAGAGGGAUGGAUCAAGAACGUGUUCGAGCUAUUGGUUGUGAAUUUGUAGUAAAUGUUCCCUCAGCGAGUCAUAUGGGCGGAGUGUGGGAGCGCCAGAUACGGACAAUACGAAGCAUCUUGAAUGCCAUGCUCGAUGGAUCUGCUUGCAGACUUGACUCAACGACUCUUAGAACAUUCCUCUAUGAGACAAUGGCCAUAAUCAACAGCAGGCCAUUAAGUGUUGAACAUCUUCACGAUCCUACUGGUCCAGAACCCCUCACUCCCAACCACAUACUAACUAUGAAGUCUUCAGUCAUUGUACCACCACCAGGAAACUUUGAUAAGCAAGACCUCUAUCUGCGUAAAAGAUGGAAAAGAGUGCAGUUCCUCGCAAAUGAAUUCUGGCAGAGAUGGAAACGAGAAUAUUUGCUAAAUCUCCAGCUACGUCAGAAAUGGCAGAGAACAUCAAGAAAUUCACAAGUAAAUGACAUUGUGAUACUUCAAGAUGAGAGUGCUCAGAGAAAUGAGUGGAAGCUUGCUAGAGUAGUGGAAACAUACUCAAGUGCUGAUGGCAUUGUAAGAAAGUUGAAGUUACUACUUAGUGACACUACAUUGGUCAAAGGGAAGCCACAAUCUAGAUUAGUGUAUUUAGAAAGGCCAGUUCAUAAGGUAGUCACUUUAAUUGAAGCCAGUUAAGUCAGGCACAUGACACAAUUACACUCUGAAACUUGAUUUAACUUCAAUAAUUGUUUAUAGAAAAUCUCACAUUUCAAGUAAAGGAGAUUUUGGUGGGAGUGUAAGUGCUGUUAUUAAGCAUUUUUGCAUAAUCGCAUAUUUAUUAUACAUAUUUGUUUCAUAUUUCAUCCUUUAGUAAUUUAAGGUCAUAAUAUUUUGUAUUAAUUUAGCUGAGGUGUAUUUAUAAAUGUAAACGUGUUGAAAGGUUCAAAUGUGUUAUUAUUUCAUAUGUUGUACUUUAAGACGUUUAUUAUGGAAACGUGUCACUUUGAGGAAAUGACGUGUAAUGUGAGUGACUUGUUUAUGGAUCCCCGGAUAGACUGACGAUGAUCAGACGCAUGUCAGUGCUGUGUAAAGUUACAUGUGUUUAAGAAGCAUAAAGUUGCUGCUGUCAUAAUUCAAAGGACAGUGAAGAAGACUUUAUUAAUCCAAGGACCCUCUUUUCAUGACAAGCGACCAACGAGUUCUCACGGCGUCACGGCGUCACGGCAACAGCCGCAAAGAACAUUAUGGACGACCUUAAAUAAACGCCCGUUCUGGAGAAACAACCUGUGUCUGUGUUGUUGUGAAGAGAGUUACACACGACGUCUUUCCUGUAUUCGCGCGUUAGAUGUUUUGAGCUCUGUUCCCUAAUCUGACCCUCAGUAUACGGCGUCACCCACGCCCGGGGCUACCUAAGCUGUCCCUACGUCUUUUCAGAAUUUUUUUAUUAUUAUUUUUUUUUUAUUUUUAUUUAAUUUUUUUAUUAUUUAUUUUUUGUUCCCUACUCUAUCCGUUCCUGAUACUGCAAUCAGUCUUUCUCAGGAAAUUAUUUUUUCUUCUCAAUUUUUAUUUUGAAAGUAUCUGGUUCUCGUCAGAACAAGAGUGACUCUCAAAAAUGCCUCCCCAGGGAGGGGGACUUCCUUACAAAGACAUGACUUUCUGUCUUUGUCCCUGGUAUUAAAAGCUUUCUACCUUCGUCAAGAGUAGGG